CCCAGCUCCCUCCCCCAAGUGAGGCAGCAAGCCUGUCCCUCAGCUGGGCUGUUGCCUGAGCCCGCGCCGGAAAUAAAUCUCCUAGAAGCCGGAGGCCUCUGCUUUGCUCGGGAUGAUCUUCUCCGUGCAGCCUCUGCCUGCCCCGGGAGGCUGCAGCCGCUAGAGGGGCAGGCAGUGCCCUCCUGUUCUGGGCACCUCUGGGGAGGAAUGGCAGCUUGGUGUGCUGUGUGGCUGCGGGCUCUCAGCCCCAGCGACAGGCGCCCCCCAGCCAGGCCAGCUGAGCGUCUUACUGUGUAGUUCAGGCUGGCCUUGAACUCACUGUGUAAACCAAGUUGGCCUCAAACUCCAGAUGAUCUUUCUGCUUCAGCCUCCAGAGUGCUGGGAUGACAGGACUGGACCACCACAUCUGGCCCUAUUUCUUAAAAGAAGGCUACACCAAAAAAAAAAAAGAAGGCCACACAGAAGGCCAACAGGUCUUGUAAAUCUUUCACCUUUUAUAAAAGAUUUCUGGAGAAAGAAGCACUUUGGAAGCUUUAACUGAUUUUGUGGCUGAUUCUUGGUGGUUCUGCUAACAGAAGACAAAAAGACAAAAGAGGAAAAGACAAAGGGAAAUACCCAGCACGCUCGGGGUGACAAGGUGGGCUGGGGCUUUCCUCUUGUUCUGGGAGAAUUUGGGCUGUCCUGGGCUUUGACUCAUGCCAUUUGGAGUCGGGGCACAGAUUUAAUGAUUCAUUUGUUCUGGUUUAAAUCUAGCCGCAGUGGGGCACUUACUGUCCAGUGGGCGCUGCUUUGGAGGUCAAUGUGGAGGCCACACGGCGGCCAUCUUAGCUCUCGAGGUAGCCAGCUUGGCUUCUGUGGAGGUCAUUUUGACUGAUGGCACACUUACCUUGACUGAUGUCACAGUCCUCUUGGUGGACAUAUCCAGCUUGUGUGGCCAUGCAGAGCUCCUGGAGCUAGGAGGUGCCUGGUGCUCACUGCGCUGCUGCAUCCAGUUUUCUUCAUGUCUCUCCCUCUCCAGGGAGGCCCUGGGUGAAGCCCUGUGCCUCUGUGUUCCAGGCUGUACCAAUGCAAGGCAGUAACUUAUUUCACAGAUGCUGAGUGAAUACCUGCUAUGGGCUCCACCUCAGAAAUCUCUCAUCAUUGAUUUCUGACAAGACUGGGCCAUAGACCCCAUCAUUGAUUUCUCAUGGCCCUGUGAGGCAGAGAUUAUGAGCCCAUUUCACAGAUGAGGAAACUGCAGCUCAUGGAAAGGAUGUAACUAACCCAGUGUCACACAGAGGAAGAAAUUGAGCCAGAAUUGCAACCUAGGUCUUCAAGGCUCCAGACAUAUGUCCUUCCCAAUGUCGCUACUCGGGUGAGAACUAUGACAUCUGAUGAGCAAGGGUGAGCAGAAACAGAACAGAACUUGUGUCCCAGGCAGCAGAUGGGGAGCCAGGCAGGGAUGAAGUCAGGCAUAGUCCUGAAGCUAAGAGAGGCGAAGUAUCUCCAGCACACAUGGGGUGGGGGGCUUGUUUGCUCCCCGCAGGGGGAAUCCUACUCCCUGCCAGUACCUGGUGCCACCUCCUGACCUGGCAUUGCCACCCUGACUUCAUCGACACCCUGCACAUGUUCUGGUGUCUGGGAGACACCAGUACCCGGUACCCACUGCUUGGAGCACAGUGCGUGGCUGAGACAGGCUGCGAAGCUGCCAGGAGAGAACCCUGCUUUGCCCAUUGACCCCUGCAACCCGAGUCCUUCAUAGCCACAGAACCUCCUGGGAACUCAGCAUUCACUCUGUUCAUUCACAAAUAUUUGAUGAGAUCUGGGCGUGGUGGCACAUGCCUGUAACCCCAGCACUUGGGAGGCUGAGGCAGGAGGAUCGCUGUGUGUUUGAGGCCAAUCUGGGCUACAUAAAGAAACUCUGUCUCAAAAAGCCAAACCAAACAAAAAUUUGUUGAGCACGUGCUUUGUGUCAGGCACUGAGCGGGUAGGGAGGGGCUCUGCUUGCAGGGAGGAGACAGUCUGCAGGUCACCCUGAGAGAGCCC